GUCUGCUCACCUCUCUGUACUAAGCCCACAUUAAAGGUGAGGUCUGCGCACCUCUCUAAGCCCACAUUAAAGGUGAGGUCUGCGCACCUCUCUAAGCCCACAUUAAAGGUGAGGUCUGCUCACCUCUCUAAGCCCACAUUAAAGGUGAGGUCUGCGCACCUCUCUAAGUCCUAAGCCCACAUUAAAGGUGAGGUCUGCGCACCUCUCUAAGCCCACAUUAAAGGUGAGGUCUGCGCACCUCUCUAAGCCCACAUUAAAGGUGAGGUCUGCGCACCUCUCUUAAGGCCUAAGACCACACUAAAGGUGAGGUCUGCUCAUGGUGUGAUAUCCACAGCAGCGCUUGUGUGUGUGUGUGUGUGCGCGUGCGUGCGUGUGUGUGUGUGUGCGCGCUGUUGGAGAGCUCUGGUGCACCUCCAGGGUCUCGGGUGACAGACAGUCCCCGGCAGAGACAGCAGCCCCUGGGUAUGAUAAAGCAGAGGAACGCCCUCAGUAACCUCGUUCCUGAUUGAUCAGGGCUGUGAAUUUCUUCUCUGCGACGUGUAAUAACAACUCUCCCCAUUGGCUAAAUCCAGAUUUGAUGUCAAAUGUGCCUCUUCUGGGGCAAACCAAACAGUUGUUUUUCCAUUCCAAGGUUCCAUACAUGGUGCCUAUUGUAGUGUGUAGUCCAGUGUGUUGUUUCAUGCAUUUCAGAUUAGAAUCAGCAGCGGAAUUAGUCUCAUUUAAGCCAUAGUGUGCUGCAGUGUGGAAUCAGCACGUUUUGUACAGGUUGUCCUUCUUUAGGCUGCCAGCUUGUCUCUGUGGAUGCGUGAACAUAUUAGUGU
ensembl:lncRNA